CAGGUGGGUGUUCUUAGAGUGUCUCUUCACUGUCACUGUAGAGGCUGUGAAGGCAAAGUGAAUAAACAUCUAUCUAUAAUGCAAAGCUCACUCUCAGAAAUUAAAAGGAUCUUUUGGCUCCGUGGGAGUAAAUUAUUACAGUGCCUUUUACGUUACAAGUGUCAUUGUCGUGGAUCAUAACACUCCAAACUGGAGAUCCGACGCACGCAUCGAAUGGAAAAAACAAAACAAAGCUGGAGAAGUUUUGGGUCCGAGAGGUGGUUUAGAAUGAGACUUUUUACACCGCAAGGGUUAAGAAAAUUUCUAAAUUAUGCAAAAAGCAAAUACAGAAACCCAAAUUUAUGAUAAUUGGACAUUGUGAUAUAUAGUAUGAAAAGAAAGCUAAACUCUCGAAUUUGAUGGAUGUUCAGACGAAAGAGUACCACGAAAAACAUCUCCAAAGCAUCCACCAAGCCAUCAAGGAGGAUGGAGGAUGGUGUUCAGGUAGAUGGAUACUAUGCAUGAUCAUUACUUGACAAGUGCGAAUAAAAAGCUGGUUAUGGUGUUAUGUACGGUCUAUUCUACCUAGACUACAACAACGGUUUAAAACGUAAUCCAAGAAUAUCGGCAAUGUGGUGCAAAGAGUUUUUGAAGAAAUAAGAGAUUGAAGAUUCAGAGUAAGAAGAGCUGAUGUUGAACUGUGUUGCUAACAAGAAUAUGAAGAGAUUCUCAACGUCGUCGGGUUCGCUUUCCUGUUUUAUACAUAUGUUUUCUUUGCAUUUAGAAAAGUACGAGAGUUAUGAGUUUAUGAUCAAGAGAUACCUGAGAAUCAUCUUUAGUGGGCAAUAUACAGUUGAAUUAUAUCCAUAUUGGUUUGGUCAC